UCGAUGCAACGCGAAGAACCUUACCUGGUCUUGACAUCCACGGAAGUUUUCAGAGAUGAGAAUGUGCCUUCGGGAACCGUGAGACAGGUGCUGCAUGGCUGUCGUCAGCUCGUGUUGUGAAAUGUUGGGUUAAGUCCCGCAACGAGCGCAACCCUUAUCCUUUGUUGCCAGUGGUCCGGCCGGGAACUCAAAGGAGACUGCCAGUGAUAAACUGGAGGAAGGUGGGGAUGACGUCAAGUCAUCAUGGCCCUUACGACCAGGGCUACACACGUGCUACAAUGGCGCAUACAAAGAGAAGCGACCUCGCGAGAGCAAGCGGACCUCAUAAAGUGCGUCGUAGUCCGGAUUGGAGUCUGCAACUCGACUCCAUGAAGUCGGAAUCGCUAGUAAUCGUGGAUCAGAAUGCCACGGUGAAUACGUUCCCGGGCCUUGUGCACACCGCCCGUCACACCAUGGGAGUGGGUUGCAAAAGAAGUAGGUAGCUUAA
rnacentral:rRNA from 1 species